AUUGAACGCUGGCGGCAGGCCUAACACAUGCAAGUCGAACGAGUGGCGGACGGGUGAGUAAUGUCUGGGAAACUGGCUUAUGGAGGGGGAUAACGACGGGAAACUGUCGCUAAUACCGCGUACCAUAGGAUGAGCCCAAGUGGGAUUAGGUUGUUGGUGGGGUAAUGGCCCACCAAGCCGACGAUCCCUAGCUGGUCUGAGAGGAUGACCAGCCACACCGGAACUGAGACACGGCCCAGACUCCUACGGGAGGCAGCAGUGGGGAAUAUUGCACAAUGGGCGCAAGCCUGAUGCAGCCAUGCCGCGUGUAUGAAGAAGGCCUUCGGGUUGUAAAGUACUGUCAGCGGGGAGGCGUUACCCGCAGAAGAAGCACCGGCUAACUCCGUGCCAGCAGCCGCGGUAAUAC
rnacentral:rRNA from 1 species